ncrna:unclassified sequences ZMP/ZTP riboswitch
UGAGUUUUCUGCGACUGACGGAUUAUUGCAGAGCACUGCAAGGGAACAGAAAAACUCUUUUUCAGCCGACCGUCUGGGCACACCUG